rnacentral:tRNA from 1 species
UAGCUCAGUGGUUAGAGUGCUGGCAUGGUACUCCAGAGACCCUGGGUUCGAGUCCCAG